GACGAACGCUGGCGGCGUGCUUAACACAUGCAAGUCGAGCGGUAAGGCCUUUCGGGGUACACGAGCGGCGAACGGGUGAGUAACACGUGGGUGAUCUGCCCUGCACUUCGGGAUAAGCCUGGGAAACUGGGUCUAAUACCGGAUAUGACCUCCUAUCGCAUGGUGGGUGGUGGAAAGAUUUAUCGGUGCAGGAUGGGCCCGCGGCCUAUCAGCUUGUUGGUGGGGUAAUGGCCUACCAAGGCGACGACGGGUAGCCGACCUGAGAGGGUGACCGGCCACACUGGGACUGAGACACGGCCCAGACUCCUACGGGAGGCAGCAGUGGGGAAUAUUGCACAAUGGGCGAAAGCCUGAUGCAGCGACGCCGCGUGAGGGAUGACGGCCUUCGGGUUGUAAACCUCU
rnacentral:rRNA from 1 species